rnacentral:rRNA from 1 species
GACGAACGCUGGCGGCGUGGAUUAGGCAUGCAAGUCGAACGGUAUCAUCCUUUCGGGGGUGAGAGAGUGGCGAACUGGUGAGUAACACGUAGGUUAUCUACCCUCAAGACGGGGACAACCCAGGGAAACUUGGGCUAAUACCGGAUGUGAGCAACUUUUAGUUGUUUGAAAGGUGGCGUAAGCUGUCGCUUGGGGAUGAGCCUGCGUCCUAUUAGUUAGUUGGUGAGGUAACGGCUCACCUAGGCAAUGAUAGGUAGGCGGCCUUAACGGGUGGUCGCCCACACUGGGAUUGAGAUACGGCCCAGACUCCUACGGGAGGCAGCAGUCGAGAAUAGUCUACAAUGGUCGGAAGACUGAUAGUGCGACGCCGCGUGAACGAUGAAUCCCUUCGGGGUGUAAAGUUCUUUUAUAUGUGAGCAGUGCUUCUUAUAUUAACAGUAUGGGGAGAGAGAUAUUAGCAUAUGAAUAAGCAACGGCUAACUCCGUGCCAGCAGCCGACGGUAAUA